rnacentral:rRNA from 1 species
UACGUAGGGUGCGAGCGUUAAUCGGAAUUACUGGGCGUAAAGCGUGCGCAGGCGGCGCGUUAAGACAGGUGUGAAAGCCCCGAGCUUAACUUGGGAAUUGCGCUUGUGACUGGCGUGCUGGAGUGUGGCAGAGGGAGGUGGAAUUCCAGGUGUAGCGGUGAAAUGCGCAGAUAUCAGAAGGAACACCGGUGGCGAAGGCGGGUCUCUGGGCCGAUACUGACGCUGAGGAGCGAAAGCGUGGGGAGCGAACAGG